rnacentral:rRNA from 1 species
AGGCCGUCGGCCGUCGGCGGGGUGCGGGUGUCCGUUAAGUCGGAUGCGACCCGAAAAUGUUCGGGCGCGCUCGCACACCCAAGCUGGCGACGGUGAGCUUACUGUUCGAGCCCACGCUGGCGCCCCGGCGGGUGUAUUUCGCCUCGUAGUAGACCGCCGCGACCCGUUGCUGGGGACGUCGAAGGCCCAGGCGGAUUGGUAACCUACCACCUUCGACGCGACCGGCGGCUCAUGAUGCCGCCGGCCGUAGAGGAGGAGGAUUCAGGCGAAACCGCCUUUGGUGAUCCUGGCUGCCCUGCGACGGUCGUAGAGAGGAGAGCGGCCUGCCCCGUGCCAUGGCAGGGGGUUAGGCUGCCCUUUCGCGGUGUUAUAAGUAUCAGUGUUCCAUCCGACCCGUCUUGAAACACGGACCAAGGAGUCUAACAUGUGUGCGAGUCAGUGGGCGUACUAAACCCAAAGGCGGAAUGAAAGUGACAGUGUCCGGCGCGCGUUAUCGUCGUUCUUCAGUGAUGAUGGUGCGGGCGUCGGAACUGGGGCCGAUCCCCCGCCGGUUGCCUUGGUUGGCGCCUCGUCAGGCCUCGUUUUCUUGUUCUUCCCUAGGCGGAUGCUUCGUCGUCAUGGCGUCGCGGCAGUCUAGGGGGAAGGGAACGGCGGGGCGGGGGCGGCGGCCUAGCGCGAAGGCGUGAGAUAUUCCUGUGUCUACAGGAAGGGGCGCAGGCCCGGGACUUGCCAAAAGACGGCGCGAGGCUGACGGUGCUGCUGCUACUAGCUGUUUGCGCAAGGGAGCGGCGGUGGCGGCGGUGUCGUUGUCGACUCGCGGUCAGUCGGCAAGUACCAUGAGCAUACAUGUUGGUACCCGAAAGAUGGUGAACUAUGCCUGGCCAGGAUGAAGCCAGAGGAAACUCUGGUGGAGGUCCGCAGCGGAUCUGACGUGCAAAUCGAUCGUCUGAGCUGGGUAUAGGGGCGAAAGACUAAUCGAACCAUCUAGUAGCUGGUUCCCUCUGAAGUUUCCCUCAGGAUAGCUGGAAAUCUCAAAAUCAAUUUCAUCCGGUAAAGCGAAUGAUUAGAGGUCUUGGGGACGAAACGUCCUCAACCUAUUCUCAAACUUUAAAUGGGUGAGAUGCCGAGCUUGCUUAAAUGCUGAAGCUACGGCGAUUAAUGUGAGUAUCUAGUGGGCCAUUUUUGGUAAGCAGAACUGGCGCUGUGGGAUGAACCAAACGUCGAGUUAAGGGGCCUAAAUGAAUGCUCAUUCAGAUCCCAUCGAAAGGCGUUGGUUGCUAUAGACAGCAGGACGGUGGCCAUGGAAGUUGGAAUCCGCUAAGGAGUGUGUAACAACUCACCUGCCGAAGCAACUAGCCCUUAAAAUGGUAUGGCGCUCAAGCAUUCUCCCGAUACUCGACCGCCGGAAAUAUGGCAUUAAGCGGCCACGCGCCGGUAAACGGCGGCGAGGUCUCGAAGCCCCGGUGAGUAAGAGGGUCGCAGUGGUGAGCGCUGAAGGGAUCCGGCGUGAGCCGGCCUGGAGCCGCCACUGGUGCAGAUCUUGGUGGUAGUAGCAAAUACUCGAGAGAGACUCCCUUGAGGACCGACGUGGAGAAGGGUUCCAUGUGAACAUCAGUUGGACAUGGGUUAGUCGCUCCUAAGCCCACGGCUAAGGCCUGAUCCCAUGUUAGCGGCAAUUGCAAAGGACCAAAGCUGCUGCUGCCAAAGAAUGUGAUGGUACAUUGCUGGUGGUGGGGCGGCACCAGCGGCAGCAGCAGCAGCAGGAGCAGGAGCGUGAAAAAAAUACACAGACCACAGCCGAUGCGAGGGGGCGCACGGCUGAAAGGGGCGCUCCAGUUGCCCGGGAUCAGUGGCGAAAGGGAAUACGGUAAUUAUUCCGUAACCAGGACUCGGAUAAAAAACAGGAGCAGCAGCAGCAAUUCGCUGCUGCCCUGUGGAGGAACCCGGCAACGGGAACCAGCUCGCGUACACCGGCGGUGGUCCGGGAAAGAGUUUUCUUUUCUGUUUAAGGCGCCGUGACCCUGGAAGCCAUUGGCAGAGAGAAAGGGUGUUGGUAUCACGGUUUGCCGUAGAGCGCCGCGGUUCUUGCGGCGUCCCGCGUGCCACCGCCGGUCCUUGAAACCGCGAGGCAGGUAACUCCGGCUGUGCUGUCACGGGCGGGCUUGCUCGGCCGUGGCGAAGCCAGAUUUCGAGCCAGUGCGUACCCAUAUCCGCAGCAGGUCUCCAAGGUAAGCAGCCU